GAAUAUUGGACAAUGGGCGCAAGCCUGAUCCAGCCAUGCCGCGUGUGUGAAGAAGGCCUUCGGGUUGUAAAGCACUUUAAGUUGGGAGGAAGGUUUCUUGGCUAAUAUCCAAGAGAAUUGACGUUACCAACAGAAUAAGCACCGGCUAAUUCCGUGCCAGCAGCCGCGGUAAUACGGAAGGUGCGAGCGUUAAUCGGAAUUACUGGGCGUAAAGCGCACGUAGGUGGCUACUUAAGUCGGAUGUGAAAGCCCUGGGCUUAACCUGGGAAUUGCAUCCGAUACUGGGUGGCUAGAGUACGGUAGAGGGAGGUGGAAUUCCAGGUGUAGCGGUGAAAUGCGUAGAGAUCGGAAGGAACACCAGUGGCGAAGGCGACUGUCUGGGCUGAUACUGACGCUGAGGUGCGAAAGCGUGGGGAGCAAACAGG
rnacentral:rRNA from 1 species